rnacentral:misc_RNA from 1 species
GCGAACCGGAUGCGGGAAAACCGCACGUCCGGGUCUGUGCGGGGGGUGCCCGGUAACGGGCGUUCCUACCGCGAA